CCUACGGGAGGUAGCAGUGAGGAAUAUUGGUCAAUGGGCUUACGCCUGAACCAGCCAAGUCGCGUGAGGGAAGACUGCCCUAUGGGUUGUAAACCUCUUUUGUCAGGGAGCAACGCCGGCUACGUGUAGCCGGACUGAGAGUACCUGACGAAAAAGAAUCGGCUAACUCCGGUCCAGCAGCCGCGGUAAUAGGGAGGAUGCGAGCUUUAUCCGGAUUUAUUGGGUUUAAAGGGUGCGUAGGCGGAAUGCCAAGUCAGCGGUAAAAUCGCGGGGCUCAAUCCCGCGGCGCAGUUGAAACUGGCAUUCUUGAGUGGGCGAGAAGUACGCGGAAUGCGUGGUGUAGCGGUGAAAUGCAUAGAUAUCACGCAGAACUCCGAUUGCGAAGGCAGCAUACCGGCGCCAAACUGACGCUGAGGCACGAAAGCGUGGGGAUCGAACAGGAUUAGAUACCCGUGUAGUC
rnacentral:rRNA from 1 species